GGCGCGGAAGUGCGUGUGGCAAAACACCCGACUCCCCGUUCGUCCUGGCCGUCAGAUUAAAAUCGGGGGGCCCACACUGGGCAGCGCACCAACUGGCGCCGCCGCCGGAGAGCGCUCCGUCGUCGGCGGCACACCGUCUCCCGUUCGUCCCGCGCCUUCCGUUCCCUGACGGAAGCGGCGGCAUGGUCGCCAGUCGCCACGCGCUCGCCGUAGGAGCAGGAGCAGCGACUGCGGGCCAGCCAGCCUCCGGAUGGGUAGCUGUUCUGCGCAACAGCUGAAGGAGCGCGGAGGGAGAAGCAAGGGACCAAACAGGAGGCGAGGGGAAUCGGAGGCGGUACGGCUGAUGAGCGGGUACCUGUUCUACAAUAGUGGUUGCCUCAGACACGAAAGAUGUUCUUGUGACGGACAUGUGAAUCAUCAUUUUGGCAUAAUAUGCUCCGACCAUGAGGAGCAUAGGUACAACUAGCAAAGAGAGCAGGCCAACCUCCCAACAGCACGCAAAGGCAACAAUGAUAGCAACUAAAAACGUGGAGAAGUUUGACAUAAAGUGACCCAUCUGAAGAAAAUAGUAAGCCUUAAGAUUGGUUAUCAUCGAGCAAAUUUUUGGUACUUCUCUUUGGGUUAGUGACUCUUGCAGUGAUAUACUAGAAGGAAAAUUAAUACCUUUUCACCAAUUGCAUCUUGUAUGACAUUCAUGUGGUUGGUUGCCCCAGCUAUGAUAUUUGCAGUGGUUAAGUCAGUGUCGAAAGCUCCAA